UACGUAGGGAGCAAGCGUUGUCCGGAAUCAUUGGGCGUAAAGCGCGCGUAGGUGGCCCCAUAAGUCCGCUGUGAAAGUCAAAGGCUCAACCUUUGAAAGCCGGUGGAUACUGUGGGACUAGAGUACGGAAGAGGCGAGUGGAAUUCCUGGUGUAGCGGUGGAAUGCGCAGAUAUCAGGAGGAACACCAAUAGCGAAGGCAGCUCGCUGGGACGUUACUGACGCUGAGGUGCGAAAGCGUGGGGAGCAAACAGG
rnacentral:rRNA from 1 species